rnacentral:misc_RNA from 1 species
UGUGCACUCAUCUGCAGGUAGUGGAGGAAGUUGUCUCGUUUUCCGCUUCAGAUUGUGUUUGUGCCACUCGCUUUUGAAGUGUUCCCUGUAUUGCCUUGUAUCUCCCACAGCUGCAUCACACGUGCUACAUCUAUUCUGUUUAACCUGCUCUUCGCCACUUUCAGUUUCUGUAGAUAUGGUAUGCUUCUGUAUACUCACACCUAGUUGGGCAACAUAUUCGGACUCCUUACUAGACCUCGGUAGAAAAUCGUCAACAUCAUCGAAUUGAUCAACCUGAG